rnacentral:rRNA from 1 species
AGCGAACGCUGGCGGCAGGCCUAACACAUGCAAGUCGAACGAACUCUUCGGAGUUAGUGGCGGACGGGUGAGUAACACGUGGGAACGUGCCUUUAGGUUCGGAAUAACUCAGGGAAACUUGUGCUAAUACCGAAUGUGCCCUUCGGGGGAAAGAUUCAUCGCCUUUAGAGCGGCCCGCGUCUGAUUAGCUAGUUGGUGAGGUAAAGGCUCACCAAGGCGACGAUCAGUAGCUGGUCUGAGAGGAUGAUCAGCCACAUUGGGACUGAGACACGGCCCAAACUCCUACGGGAGGCAGCAGUGGGGAAUCUUGCGCAAUGGGCGAAAGCCUGACGCAGCCAUGCCGCGUGAAUGAUGAAGGUCUUAGGAUUGUAAAAUUCUUUCACCGGGGACGACAAUGACGGUACCCGGAGAAGAAGCCCCGGCUAACUUCGUGCCAGCCGCCGCGGUAAAAC